rnacentral:rRNA from 1 species
UACGUAGGUGGCAAGCGUUGUCCGGAAUUAUUGGGCGUAAAGCGCGCGCAGGCGGUCCUUUAAGUCUGAUGUGAAAGCCCACGGCUCAACCGUGGAGGGUCAUUGGAAACUGGGGGACUUGAGUGCAGAGGAGGAAAGUGGAAUUCCAAGUGUAGCGGUGAAAUGCGUAGAGAUUUGGAGGAACACCAGUGGCGAAGGCGACUUUCUGGUCUGUAACUGACGCUGAGGCGCGAAAGCGUGGGGAGCAAACAGG